UACGUAGGGUGCGAGCGUUUGUCCGGAAUUACUGGGCGUAAAGAGCUUGUAGGUGGUUUGUCGCGUCUGCUGUGAAAAUCCGAGGCUCAACCUCGGACUUGCAGUGGGUACGGGCAGACUAGAGUGUGGUAGGGGAGACUGGAAUUCCUGGUGUAGCGGUGGAAUGCGCAGAUAUCAGGAGGAACACCGAGUGGCGAAGGCAGAUCUCUGGGCCGUAACUGACGCUGGAGGAGC
rnacentral:rRNA from 1 species